CCUACGGGGGGCAGCAGUGGGGAAUAUUGGGCAAUGGGCGCAAGCCUGACCCAGCAACGCCGCGUGAAGGAAGAAGGCUCUCGGGUUGUAAACUUCUUUUAUCCGGGACGAAGCAAGUGACGGUACCUGAUGAAUAAGCCCCGGCUAACUACGUGCCAGCAGCCGCGGUAAUACGUAGGUGGCAAGCGUUCUCCGGAUUUCCUGGGUGUAAAGGGCGUGUAGGCGGGAAAGCAAGUCAGAUGUGAAAACCAUGGGCUCAACCUGUGGCCUGCAUUUGAAACUGUUUUUCUUGAGUACUGGAGAGGCAGACGGAAGUCCUAGUGUAGCGGUGAAAUGCGUAGAUAUUAGGAGGAACACCAGUGGCGAAGGCGGUCUGCUGGACAGCAACUGACGCUGAGGCGCGAAAGCGUGGGGAGCAAACAGGAUUAGAUACCCUAGUAGUC
rnacentral:rRNA from 1 species